AUUUCUUUAUUACAAAAAGUAAGUGUGAUUUCCAAUCAUAAAGUCUAUAUUAAAGAAGAGAUA
rnacentral:tRNA from 1 species